rnacentral:lncRNA from 1 species
AAAAUGUAGUUAACUGAGAAUCAGAGUGGCCAGGGAGAGAAGAAGGGUAGAGGAGAAAACUCCAUUAAAAAAAAUCCUGUCCUGUAGUCCCCAAAAUUCUAAUAGUUUGAUGUCUGAACAACAUCACCCAGUCAACCUUUUCCAGUCACAAAGAAAUUCUUUGAUCCCAGAAAUAGGUCUAUCUAUGACAAGGCAUGUAACUUUUCUGCACCCCAGUUCCCCAAACUGUAAAACUAUACCAAAAUGAAUCCUACGAGAUAAGGGAUAUGAAACACUAAGAGAUCAUUCUUAAAACUAGUCAAACUUUUUCUGGCAGUAAGAGACAGUCAGUGAUCAAUGUGGGGGAAAGAGGAAAAUCAAGCUAAAAAGCAGUUCAUUCUGAUUUGAAAACAAAACAAAAUCCAUAGCUAUGGAAGACAACUGGGACAAAUGGGAAAUCUCAAUUUUGGAAUACUAGGUAAUUUUAUGGAAUCGUUAGCUUUUUUUAGUGUAAUAAUGAUAUUGUGGCUAGGAACAGAAUAUCUUUAAUCUUAGCAGAUGCAUGUUGAAGUACUUAGAGAUAAAAUGACAUGAUGAAAAACAUGACAUAUAUCUUCGACUUACGAAUGACUCAAAUAAUAGAAAGGGAGGGAGAGAAAGAAGAAGGUUUAUGAAAACUAACCAUCAUUAAAUCUAGGUGCAGGGUAUAUGGGUGCUCAUGGUGCUAUUUUUCAACUUUUCUGUAUGUAUGAAAAUUUGAAAUUUCCAUAAUACAAAGCAGGGAACAAGAGCAUUCUAGCCCUCUAGCAUUCUAGCUCAGGGGUGGGAGGAUAAAUGAGAACCACUCCCACUGAGGGGAACUUGGCAAGAGUUCUUAACACUGUUCAUGUGCCACACAUAUACCCUUUGACCUGGCAAUCCCACUUUAAGGAACAUAUCCUAUAGAUAUAACCACCUCUGUGAAAAAGCACUGUCAGUGAUGGUGGAGUAAAAUAAUCAAAAUGUAUGUUGACAGGGAACUAAUUAAUACAUUGUGUUACAGCUCAUCCUGUGCGAACCUUCAAGAAGACAUAUCUAGAAGAAAUGAUAAGGAAUAAACUAUUACUGCUCUCAUGGGGAGUAUCCACUGAGAAGAGAAGCAGAGCCCAUCUCAAAAACCUCAGCCCUCCUUCCAAAUUCCCUUUCUCUACUGGUUUUUCCUUCCUGCUAUCCACCUGACCACCAGAAAAGGUCCCAAUCCUUUGUGGAGGCAGGAGGAGAAAAAGAUAUCAUUCAUUUCUUUUCAAUGGCACGCAUUGUUAUUUGAUGGAAGGAAGAACUGUUGGGGAUUUGGAUAGUUAAAGAAGUUCACAUUUUUGCUCUUAGAAGGAGUCUUGCUUUGGGUCAGACAGUCCUCUACCAUUUGAAGUUGACGUCUAAGAAGAUGAGAACUCAACUUUAUAAAGUCUCCUCUUGUUUUGAGACAAAAGGAAAAAUAGAGGAAAAACCGGAAAGUCCAGCUCAGAGCACCCUAUCAUCUUCGGGCUGCCACCUGGGGCCUCCAGAGAGUAGAAGACCCUCCAGCAGUGGUCAAGGCCUUUCUCAUUCUCCCUACAGUCCUCUGAAUGCCCAAGUCCAGUGAUCCUGAGCUGCACCUUCACUAUUAAUGAAGACACACACCUGACACUUUUCUCCUUUGGAGAGAGAACUGUCCUUCCCAAAUCAGUCUUUUUGCUAUUGACAGCCUUAAGAUGAAGGUAAAAUCUCUAUUCCUUUCCCUCUCCUCUUACACAGAGCACA